rnacentral:rRNA from 1 species
CGUGUAGGCGGGGAGUUAAGUUAGGUGUGAAAUCCACAGGCUCAACUUGUGAACUGCACCUAAUACUGAUUCUCUUGAGUUCGGGAGAGGAGAGCGGAAUUCCCGGUGUAGCGGUGAAAUGCGUAGAUAUCGGGAAGAACACCAGUGGCGAAGGCGGCUCUCUGGCCUAGAACUGACGCUAAGGCGCGAAAGCGUGGGGAGCGAACG